AUUAGCUGCAGCAUGCCACACACUGCUCAGCAGGGAUUAAAGUGGGGCGGAACUGCGUUCUUUCAGUUCCAUUUGGAGAUAGAUUCAGUUCUGCCUCAUCUGGCCCACUUAACUCAUGAUUGUCAGUCUGGUGCCGCAGAGAGGUGCCAGGUAUCCGCUGAAAUUUUGUUAUCAGUUGGCACACGGGUUCUUCCCCACAGCAGCAGGCAGAGGAAGGAGUUCACUUCUGAGCUCCGGCUUCGGACUCUCGCAGUGUGCACUAUGGGAGAUAUGUCAUGACGUCUCUCCCAUAGUUCAGAGGAGCGGGCAGACGGACAGCAGUGAUCGGAUGCAGGAGCGGGGCUUUAAGCCUCGAUUCUUUCUGUCCUUCAGUCCCAAUAUCCAUACAAUUGGCGUUCAGCUUCGCUUCAAUAUCUAGGGCAGUGGUGUGCCGCCAGCAGCUUUCAGAUGUGCCGCCAGAAGUCAGACUCUACAACAGAUAAGAAUCCACAUCAUCUCCAGCCAGGAGAUUGGGUGUACCUGAAAAGACACGUGAGGAAGUCCCUGGAGCCCAGAUAUGAUGGUCCAUUCCAGGUGUUGCUAACUACCCCAACGUCUGUGAAGUUGAAAGACAGCGAGGCUUGGGUGCAUGCAUCACAUUGCAAACUUUUUAAAGUUAAGUUUGGAUAAGAAACAAGAAUGUACAGGUUACUAGGCCUCAAGCCAGAUAAAGCACUUUGGGGAAUAAUAUUGGGUGCCCCACUAGUGACAGUAGGCACUAUCCUUGCCAUAUACGUCGUAGUUGAGGAAAGGAUUGUAUGUGUAAUAGAAAACUGAUCAAGUAGUGAAAAAACAUGUACAAGAGAUAGAAGAUGCAAAACUGACAAUAUGCCAGCAAACAUAACAUCCCUGACACUCUAAAGGGUGAAUGGGGUUGGUUAUCAUGGCUAAAUCCAGUUUCAUGGUUUAGUGGAUUUAAAGGAUGGAUUGUAGGAAUACUAAUGUUCCUUCUAAACGCUAUUGGAAUUGCAAUUAUAUUAUAUGUGUUUUAAGAUACUGCUUUGUUGUUUUUCAGUCUGUAAGAAACGAAUAAGGAAAGACUUUGAAUCCUCCAGAUAUAAGACAUUGCAGAAGAGUCUGGCAAAGAAAGUCCAACAAUAGUCUGCCCUAAUGGAUAUGAGUCAACGGUCUACCAACCAAAGCCAUGAAAGACAUCAACCCUGUAACAGAUAGGGUGUAGUUUCCUACCUAUAGGGAGAUGGGUAGCCACUGGUAUCGUUAAGAGUAGACUGUUAUUGCAUAGACUUGUUAGGAAAAUGCCAGAUAAGCUUGUAAUGUUUGAUUUAUUAUAAAAAGGAGGGGAAAUGAUCGCGUUAAUAAUUAGCCACUAUAUUGGGUUAUAAUAAACAAAUGCUUUUUAUAUAAGAAAGAAAUGUGUUUAAAUAAAGUUUGGACAUAUUCUAAACGUAGGCAUUUGAAGUGUAAGCUAAGAAAUCUUCAUACUGGUUCUUAGAGAAAAGCUAACAUCUGGUAUUCAUCGCGUAUUGUCCACGAAGACAAAAAAUGGCUGUAUGCAGUCUAUGGAAAAACUUAAGAACAAGAAAUGCGAACGUGGCAGAAAAGAAUUGGCAAUGUAUGAGAUGAUUAUGCUAUAGGAUCUACUGGAUAUUGUGCAAUGUAUGUUACGAAAUGAAUGGAAAAUAACUCUCAAUAAUUGUUUCAAGAUGUGUCUCCUCCUUUGGAGAGAAAUGUGAGCUGGACAAUUAAAACCAGAUGUACACUGUAUGCCUAUAUAUAUGUGUGUUUUCUAACUCAAGUAAAGUAGAAUGCUUAUGAGA